AUGUUUACAAGACAGUCCUAUCAUUCGGUUGAAACCACGAUCAAAAUAAAAGCGCAUCUGGCUGCACAUUUGAGAACACACACAGAGACCCGGGCAAGCGAGCGCGCCCAGAAAGAAGAACGGUCUUUACAUGGUCCCUUUUCUUUGGAUUUCUACUCCCAGAAGAACAGGAAAGGAGCUGUUUCAGGGCAGGCAGAGACCAGUGCUCACACAAUCUGGCAGCCUGGACACGUGUGGUACAAAAUGCUUCCACUGUCUUUGCAAAGCACUGAGUGGAAGAGCCAGACUCUGGCCUGACAGUUGAGAUGCAGGCAAAAGCAGGAAACUUCUAGGAUGGAACUUCUGAACAUUUACUCUAUUUUUAAUCCUUCCAAUACCUUCCAGAUGAGUUAUGGAAGGCUUACUUACAUGGAGCAUGCUCAAUAUGUUAAAAUGCAUGGAGAAUGACUCUACAGCCACCUUGUUUUAAUUUGUGAUGGACACGAUUUCUUUUUGAAACUAAAUUUUGCUAGGUCUCCAUUCCUCAAGGUAGAAUGUUACUGUACAAAUGUUUACAUGGUUUGCCUUGUAUGUGUUAAAUAGAAAGCUGUACAAAAAGUUGGGAAACAGAACAAACACAUUUUAAAAGAAAAUACUGGUCCUGUUUUCAAAUAAUAUGCUCAACAUAGUUUUCUUCAACCUCCAGGCCCGAUUUUUCAUGCAAUACCUCUAAGUUUAAAACAAUUACUCAACUGUUUUUAUAAAAGAAAUGAAUACAAUACUAAAUACACAUUGAAAUCUGUGAUAUAUUUAUUAGAAAUUAAGACAAUUUAAAACAUUAUUAUGGGGUAAAGA
rnacentral:lncRNA from 1 species